UGAACGCUGGCGGCGUGCCUAAUACAUGCACGUCGAGCGAACAGACGAGGAGCUUGCUCCUCUGACGUUAGCGGCGGACGGGUGAGUAACACGUGGAUAACCUACCUAUAAGACUGGGAUAACUUCGGGAAACCGGAGCUAAUACCGGAUAAUAUAUUGAACCGCAUGGUUCACUAGUGAAAGACGGUUUUGCUGUCACUUAUAGAUGGAUCCGCGCUGCAUUAGCUAGUUGGUAAGGUAACGGCUUACCAAGGCAACGAUGCGUAGCCGACCUGAGAGGGUGAUCGGCCACACUGGAACUGAGACACGGUCCAGACUCCUACGGGAGGCAGCAGUAGGGAAUCUUCCGCAAUGGGCGAAAGCCUGACGGAGCAACGCCGCGUGAGUGAUGAAGGUCUUCGGAUCGUAAAACUCUGUUAUUAGGGAAGAACAAAUGUGUAAGUAACUAUGCACGUCUUGACGGUACCUAAUCAGAAAGCCACGGCUAACUACGUG
rnacentral:rRNA from 1 species